GACGUAGGGUGCGAGCGUUGUCCGGAAUUAUUGGGCGUAAAGAGCUCGUAGGCGGUUUGUCGCGUCGAAUGUGAAAACCCGGGGCUCAACCCCGGGCCUGCAUUCGAUACGGGCAGGCUAGAGUUCGGUAGGGGAGUCUGGAAUUCCUGGUGUAGCGGUGAAAUGCGCAGAUAUCAGGAGGAACACCGGUGGCGAAGGCGGGACUCUGGGCCGAUACUGACGCUGAGGAGCGAAAGCGUGGGGAGCAAACAGG
rnacentral:rRNA from 1 species